CUACGGGUGGCUGCAGUCGAGAAGCUUCGGCAAUGGGCGAAAGUCUGACCGAGCGACGCCGCGUGGAUGAUGAAGGCUCUUUGAGUCGUAAAAUCCUGUCAUGGGGGAAGAAACAUCUGGGGGUUAAUACCCCUCAGACUUGACGGUACCUCAAGAGGAAGCUCCGUCUAACUCCGUGCCAGCAGCCGCGGUAAUACGGGGGGAGCAAGCGUUGUUCGGAAUUACUGGGCGUAAAGGGCGUGUAGGCGGUUUUGUAAGUCAGAGGUGAAAACCAUCGGCUCAACCGAUGGCCUGCCUUUGAAACUGCAGAACUUGAGUACGGAAGAGGAGAGCGGAAUUCCUGGUGUAGCGGUGAAAUGCGUAGAUAUCAGGAAGAACAUCAGUGGCGAAGGCGGCUCUCUGGUCCAGUACUGACGCUGAGGCGCGAAAGCCAGGGGAGCGAACGGGAUUAGAUACCCGUGUAGUC
rnacentral:rRNA from 1 species